CAUCCAUCCAUCAUCAUCCGGUCGCCGGGACAAUAGCUAGUCCUGGGUUUUCGCCAAUGCCUUCUCCCAGCUAGAUAUGCCAUGGGGCAUCUUUACCAGAUGCCCAAAACCAACUUAACUGGCUCCAUUCCACGCAAAGGAGCAGCGGCUCUUCUCCAAGUUCCUAACAGAUGAGCUUCUCUUCCUAUCCCCAAGGGAGACGUAGCACCCUUCUGGGAAAAAAAAAACGUUUCUGCCGCUUGCACCUGGGAUCUGUGUUUCCCACAGGUUGAGAAUUUACUUGUGGUGGUAGGUGGCGCAGGAUGUGAUGGUACAUGAUGGCUGGGUUCAGAAAUAAGCUAGUCAAACAAAGGUUUAUGAACUAUUUAUUGAAAAAAAAUAAAAAAUAACUAAAGAUUUAGAUUAAAAAACUAGAAGACUAGAAGAUGAUACAGAUCGAUUCGGAUGAAGUUUAGCCUUUGAUGUACUUUGUCAAUCAAAUCUGCUAGGUUUGUUAAAUAAAUGUUAUUACCUGGAGUUUAAAUUUUAUUUAGGCCAACAUUGACAACUUCAUGAUGGGGAGGGGCUGAAUAGCGCUGGUCUGGGUGCGCUGUAAGAAGUACGUCAUUAAUUGUGGAGAAAAAUGUAUUCUUGUUUUAUCUAUGUGGGCGGGUCUUAAUCUACCUGGGCGGGGCACCCAAGUAGUACCUAUGUAUGGGAAACGCUGCCAUAGGUGAGGGUGUGAACAAAAUUUAACCAGUAGAUCGAGAACUUUGACUCCUGGCUCAGCUCUCUAUUCAUCACAACGGUGUGAUAAAGCAAAUGCAAUGCCGACCCUGCUGCGCCGAUUCUCCAGCCAAUACCCCGCUCCAUUGUCAUCUCAUGCGUAAACAAGACCCACAUGUACUUGAACUCCUUCACUUGGGGUAAAGACUCGUUCUCCUUUGGUUUCCUGCUGAGAACCAUUGCCUCAGAUGUAGAGGUGCCAAUCCUCAUCCAAGAUUCUUCACACUCAACUGCGAACCGAUCCAGUGAGCGCUGAAGGUCACAGACCGAUGAUGCCAACAGGACCACAUCAUCUGCAA